rnacentral:rRNA from 1 species
GACGAACGCUGGCGGCGUGCUUAACACAUGCAAGUCGUACGGUAAGGCCCUUUCGGGGGUACACGAGUGGCGAACGGGUGAGUAACACGUGAGUAACCUGCCCACAACUUUGGGAUAACGCUAGGAAACUGGUGCUAAUACUGGAUAUGUGCUCCUGCUGCAUGGUGGGGGGUGGAAAGCUCCGGGGGUUGUGGAUGGACUCGCGGCCUAUCAGCUUGUUGGUGGGGUAGUGGCCUACCAAGGCGGCGCCGGGUAGCCGGCCGGAGAGGGUGACCGGCCACAUUGGGACUGAGAUACGGCCCAGACUCCUACGGGAGGCAGAAGUGGGGAAUAUUGCACAAUGGGCGCGAGCCGGAUGCAGCAACGCCGCGUGCGGGAGGACGGCCUUCGGGUUGGAAACCGCUUUCAGCAGGGACGAAGCUUUUUGUGACGGUACCUGCAGAAGAAGCACCGGCUAACUACGUG